rnacentral:tRNA from 1 species
GCCUUCAUGGUGUAACAGGGUAGUAUGUCUGGCUAACAAUCAGGAGGUCCAAUGUUCGAAUCAUGGCAAAGGCA